GUGCCAGCCGCCGCGGUAAUACCGGCAGCUCAAGUGAUGUCCCAUAUUAUUGGGCCUAAAGCGUCCGUAGCUGGCCGACCAAGUCUCCCGGGAAAUCCACCCGCCCAACGGGUGGGCGUCCGGUAGAAACUGGCCGGCUUGGAACCGGAAGGCUCAGAGAGUACGUCCGGGGUAGGAGUGAAAUCCCGUAAUCCCGGACGGACUACCGAUGGCGAAAGCACUCUGAGAAGACGGCUUCGACAGUGGGGGACGAAAGCUCGGGUCUCAAACCGGAUUAGAAACCCCGGUAGUCC
rnacentral:rRNA from 1 species